CCCUUAGAUGUUCUGGGCCGCACGCGUGCUACACUGAGUGGAUCAGCGGGUCAGGUUGCGCGAAAGCGUUUCCUAAUCUUUAAAUCCGCUCGUGAUGGGGAUUGACGGUUGCAAUUUUCUGUCAUGAACCAGGAAUACCUUGUAAGCGCGGGUCAUCAUCCCGCGCUGAAUACGUCCCUGCCCUUUGUACACACCGCCCGUCGCUCCUACCGAUUGAGUGGUCCGGUGAGGCUUUGGGAUCUGAGCGGAAAGAGCGUUUCGCUGUUUCUGCUCGGAAAACUCAGUCGAACCUUAUCAUUUAGAGGAAGGAGAAGUCGUAACA
rnacentral:rRNA from 1 species